AAUAUUGGACAAUGGGGGAAACCCUGAUCUAGCCAUCCCGCGUGUAUGAUGAAGGCCUUCGGUUUGUAAAGUACUUUUCGCAGAGAAGAAAAGGUAUCUCCUAAUACGAGAUACUGCUGACGGUACCUGCAGAAUAAGCACCGGCUAACUACGUGCGAGCAGCCGCGGUAAUACGUAGGGUGCAAGCGUUAAUCGGAAUUACUGGGCGUAAAGCGUGGGUAGGAGGUUCAGAAAGAAGGAUGUAAAAUCCCCGGGCUCAACCUUGGAACUGCAUUUUUAACUGCCGAGCUAGAGUAUGUCAGAGGGGGGUAGAAUUCCACGUGUAGCAGUGAAAUGCGUAGAUAUUUGGAGGAAGACCAAUGGCGAAGGCGACCCCCUGGGAUAAUACUGACGCUCAGACACGAAAGCGUGGGGAGCAAACA
rnacentral:rRNA from 1 species